CGCAUCUGUGCAUGCAGCAUAUCAAUAAGCGGAGGAAAAGUCAAAUACCUACGCUUAGGAUGUUGAGCGCAUGCUGGUGAGUCUAUAACGACUAGGCAUAUCAAUAAGCGGAGGAAAAGAAACUAACAAGGAUUCCCCUAGUAACGGCGAGUGAAGCGGGAAGAGCUCAAAUUUGAAAUCUUAAAGGGUUUCCCUUUACGAAUUGUAGUUUAAAGAAGUGUUUUCUGUUGAGGUUUUGGUAAAAGUUCUUUGGAAUAGGACAUCAUAGAGGGUGAGAAUCCCGUAUUUGACCUUUACUUUCAACUUUGUGAUACACUUUCAAAGAGUCGGAUUGUUUGGGAAUGCAGUCCAAAAUGGGUGGUAAAUUUCAUCUAAAGCUAAAUAUUGGCGAGAGACCGAUAGCGAACAAGUACCGUGAGGGAAAGAUGAAAAGAACUUUGAAAAGAGAGUUAAACAGUACGUGAAAUUGUCAAAAGGGAAGCGUUUGACACCAGUGUUGUUUUUCUGAAAAUCAAUUAAAGAACUGUUUAUGCUAAGCUGUUUAGACUUUAUCAGCUAAUCUGUUUAGUUUUGAGCUUUUCUUUAAUGCACUUCUCAGUUAACAAGUCAACAUCAAUUUCUUUUGCUGUAAAAAAGCUUGAGGAAGGUGGCUUGAGAUUCGUCUUAAGUGUUUAUAGCCUCUUGCCUAUGCAGUCGGAGAGAUUGAGGUCUGCAGCGUAGAUCCUUCGGGGCUAAAUGCAUUUGUGCUAAGUUAUAACAUUUUAUAGACAACUUGUUGACUAUGAUUUGUCUUGUAGCUUACUCGCUUAUGUUAUUUUACCUACGCUUAGGAUGUUGAGCGCAUGUCUCUCUCU
rnacentral:rRNA from 1 species